UACCAGUGAAGGAAGAUAAGUUCGGGAUUGGGUAUCAGCCAGUUUUGACUUCUACAACACUUCAGGGGCCGAUCACUUUCUCCAGUGCUGGCAUCAUUCAGUAUGGUCAAGUCUCUGCAGUCGACGAAGAAGAUGGGGAUAGUGAUUGUGACAUUGACAACUGGGUGCGUCCGAGGAUCCCGGGUGAAGUCAUCAACAAUUGGUCUUCUGAAGAGAUUAU
rnacentral:lncRNA from 1 species